rnacentral:rRNA from 1 species
UACGUAGGGGGCUAGCGUUGUCCGGAUUUAUUGGGGCGUAAAGAGCGCGUAGGCGGCCGAGUAAGUCCGACGUGAAAUCUGGAGGCUCAACCUCCAGCGGUCGUUGGAAACUACUCGGCUAGAGUCCGGAAGAGGAGAGUGGAAUUCCUGGUGUAGCGGUGAAAUGCGCAGAUAUCAGGAAGAACACCGAUGGCGAAAGCAGCUCUCUGGGACGGUACUGACGCUGAGGCGCGAAAGCGUGGGGAGCGAACAGG